rnacentral:rRNA from 1 species
GAUGAACGCUGGCGGCGUGCCUAAUACAUGCAAGUCGAGCGAACAGACGAGGAGCUUGCUCCUCUGACGUUAGCGGCGGACGGGUGAGUAACACGUGGAUAACCUACCUAUAAGACUGGGAUAACUUCGGGAAACCGGAGCUAAUACCGGAUAAUAUAUUGAACCGCAUGGUUCAAUAGUGAAAGACGGUUUUGCUGUCACUUAUAGAUGGAUCCGCGCCUCAUUAGCUAGUUGGUAAGGUAACGGCUUACCAAGGCAACGAUGCGUAGCCGACCUGAGAGGGUGAUCGGCCACACUGGAACUGAGACACGGUCCAGACGCCUACGGGAGGCAGCAGUAGGGAAUCUUCCGCAAUGGGCGAAAGCCUGACGGAGCAACGCCGCGUGAGUGAUGAAGGUCUUCGGAUCGUAAAACUCUGUUAUUAGGGAAGAACAAAUGUGUAAGUAACUAUGCACGUCUUGACGGUACCUAAUCAGAAAGCCACGGCUAACUACGUG